CAGCCGCCGCGGUAAUACAGAGGGUGCGAGCGUUAAUCGGAUUUACUGGGCGUAAAGCGUGUGUAGGUUGUUGUUCAAGUCAGUUGUGAAAUCCCUGGGCUCAACCUGGGAACUGCUUCUGAGACUGAACGACUAGAGUACGGUAGAGGGUGGUGGAAUUUCCGGUGUAGCGGUGAAAUGCGUAGAUAUCGGAAGGAACAUCAAUGGCGAAGGCAGCCACCUGGGCCUGUACUGACACUGAGACACGAAAGCGUGGGGAUCAAACAGGAUUAGACACCCCAGUAGUCCCUGUCUCUUAUAC
rnacentral:rRNA from 1 species